rnacentral:rRNA from 1 species
UGGAGCCUACGGGGGGCAGCAGUGAGGAAUAUUGGUCAAUGGGCGGGAGCCUGAACCAGCCACGUCGCGUGAGGGAAGACGGUCCUAUGGAUUGUAAACCUCUUUAGGCGGGGAGCAAUGCCGGGCACGCGUGCCCGGAGGGAGAGUACCCGCAGAAUAAGCAUCGGCUAACUCCGUGCCAGCAGCCGCGGUAAUACGGAGGAUGCGAGCGUUAUCCGGAUUUAUUGGGCGUAAAGGGAACGCAGGCGGUCUUUUAAGUCUGAUGUGAAAGCCUUCGGCUUAACCGGAGUAGUGCAUUGGAAACU